rnacentral:rRNA from 1 species
UACGUAGGGGGCAAGCGUUGUCCGGAAUUAUUGGGCGUAAAGGGCUCGUAGGUGGCCAACUAAGUCAGACGUGAAAUCCCUCGGCUUAACCGGGGAACUGCGUCUGAUACUGGAUGGCUUGAGUUUGGGAGAGGGAUGCGGAAUUCCAGGUGUAGCGGUGAAAUGCGUAGAUAUCUGGAGGAACACCGGUGGCGAAGGCGGCAUCCUGGACCAACACUGACACUGAGGAGCGAAAGCCAGGGGAGCAAACGGG